rnacentral:rRNA from 1 species
GGACGGGUGAGUAACGCUUGGGAAUCUGCCUAUUAGUGGGGGACAACCCGGGGAAACUCGGGCUAAUACCGCAUACGCACUACGGUGGAAAGCCGGGGACCGCAAGGCCUGGCGCUAAUAGAUGAGCCCAAGUCGGAUUAGCUAGUUGGUAGGGUAAUGGCCUACCAAGGCGACGAUCCGUAACUGGUCUGAGAGGACGACCAGUCACACCGGAACUGAGACACGGUCCGGACUCCUACGGGAGGCAGCAGUGGGGAAUAUUGGACAAUGGGCGAAAGCCUGACCCAGCGACGCCGCGUGGGUGAAGAAGGCCUGCGGGUUGUAAAGCCCUUUCAGUGGGGAAGAAAAGCCUCGACCUAACAUGUCGGGGUCUUGACGUAACCCAUAGAAGAAGCACCGGCUAACUCUGUGCCAGCAGCCGCGGUAAUACAGAGGGUGCGAGCGUUAAUCGGAAUUACUGGGCGUAAAGCGCGCGUAGGCGGCUUCGCAAGUCGGAUGUGAAAUCCCCGGGCUCAACCUGGGAACUGCAUUCGAGACUGCGUUGCUAGAGUAUGGGAGAGGGAAGUGGAAUUUCCGGUGUAGCGGUGAAAUGCGUAGAUAUCGGAAGGAACAUCAGUGGCGAAAGCGACUUCCUGGACCAAUACUGACGCUCAUGUGCGAAAGCGUGGGGAGCAAACAGGAUUAGAUACCCUGGUAGUCCACGCCAUAAACGAUGAGAACUGGAUGUCGGGAGGGUCUGCCUCUCGGUGUCGUAGCUAACGCGUUAAG